UCCCUUUACGCAACAACAAAUCUAGUUACAAUCAACAAUUACGCAGGCGCCGUCAUAAAAUAUUCCCUGUUGACGCAACAGUGAGUGAGAGAGAGAGAGAUGGAAGGAAGCAGAAAGAAUGGGAAGAAUAGGAACCCAUGUCUGACGAUGCACCAACCAUGGGCUUCACUCCUUGUUCAUGGCGUUAAGCGCAUCGAAGGCCGCUCUUGGCCUGCCCCCAUCAGAGGUCGUAUUUGGAUCCAUGCUGCUGGUAAAGUUCCAGAUGCUGCUACCAUUAAAGCUAUGGAGGACUUUUAUCGGGAAAUCUAUGCUGUUAAUGGGAUUACAGAUCUCAAGUUUCCACAACAGUAUCCAGUUUCAAGACUUAUUGGUUGCAUUGAAGUGGUUGGUUGCCUUAGGCGUGAAGAACUAGCAUGCUGGAAUGAGGUGCCUGAAGGGGUGAGGCUAGAAGCACUAACCGAUUUUUGCUGGCUUUGUGAACAGCCACAAAAAUUGUGUGUUCCAAUUGAGAUGCGAGGUUUUCACGGUGUUUAUGACUUGGAAAGAAAGAUAUACGAGGCUGCUAUGGGAGAUCUUAUCCCAGUUGACAGUUCACUGCUCGUGAAGUUCCGACUUCCAAACCCACAAGAUCCUUUUUCCCUGAAGCCAGGAUCCAUUUCUGCAUGCUUCCCCAAAUCUAAAGCAUCUGAAAUUGAGAAAUCAUCAAGUCUCAGUGCAGCCAUAGCUGCUGCAAGUGCAGCAGCGACACAGUAUUCAAAGAAGGGUCAGAAUUUAGAAAAUAAUGCCUUUAACAGUAGGAAUACGAGGAAUUUUACAAGACAGUGGCAAUUGAAGAACAACUCUUCUGCUGAGCAUAAGAUGGUUUCCAAUGAAGUGGGCACUCUGGCUCGUCAUCAUAAUGAGGGCAACAGUGGUAGUUACCCUAAACAAUUUUUGCAUGCUGAAUCAAGCCACCGUCUCGGACCUCAUUCUAAGGACAUUAACGCAGGAAUGGAGCAGUUGUACAUUGAGUGGCAAUCCGAAAGACGAUGACAUCUGGAAUGAAUCUGGGUGUAUAUCUUGUGGUUUGAUAUCGUUAUCUGGCUCAUAAGAAUGAUAUUUGCUGCUGCAGUGAGAGGGCUGAGGCCUGAGUGAAUCUUGUAGACUCUGAGAAGAAUUAGAAUUGAAGAUGAAAACAGCAAUUUGGGUUUUAGUGAGUCUUUAUGUACAGAGAUGAAAAGACCGUGUUGUAUAAUUUUCUUCCUUCUUUUCUCAUAUGUACUAUAAAUCAAUCAUUUUUUGGUGCCCA